CAGGAUGAGACGAGUUUCUCUGCAGCAGGUUCGGGUCGAACGCAGUGAGACAACGGAGCCGCUUGCGGCGACGGCCCGAAGGGCGAGGCGAAGCCGAGUCAUCCUG
rnacentral:sRNA from 2 species